GUAGGGAAUCUUCCACAAUGGACGCAAGUCUGAUGGAGCAACGCCGCGUGAGUGAAGAAGGCUUUCGGGUCGUAAAACUCUGUUAUUGAAGAAGAACGUGCGUGACAGUAACUGGUCAUGCAGUGACGGUAUUCAAUCAGAAAGUCACGGCUAACUACGUGCCAGCAGCCGCGGUAAUACGUAGGUGGCAAGCGUUGUCCGGAUUUAUUGGGCGUAAAGCGAGUGCAGGCGGUCUUUUAAGUCUGAUGUGAAAGCCUUCGGCUUAACCGAAGAAGGGCAUCGGAAACUGGGAGACUUGAGUGCAGAAGAGGAGAGUGGAACUCCAUGUGUAGCGGUGAAAUGCGUAGAUAUAUGGAAGAACACCAGUGGCGAAGGCGGCUCUCUGGUCUGUAACUGACGCUGAGGCUCGAAAGCGUGGGUAGCAAACAGGAUU
rnacentral:rRNA from 1 species